rnacentral:rRNA from 1 species
GACGAACGCUGGCGGCGUGCUUAACACAUGCAAGUCGAACGGAAAGGCCCUGCCUUUCUGGGCUGCUUGAGUGGCGAACGGGUGAGUAACACGUGGGUAACCUGCCCUUGACUGUGGGAUAACUUCAGGAAACGGGGGCUAAUACCGGAUAGGAGCUCCUGCUGCAUGGUGGGGGUUGGAAAGUUUCGUCGGUUGGGGAUGGACUCGCGGCUUAUCAGCUUGUUGGUGAGGUAGUGGCUUACCCAGGCUUGGACGGCUAGCCGGCCUGAGAGGGUGACCGGCCACAUAGGGACUGAGGAACGGCCCAGAGGGCUACGGGAGGCAGCGGUGGGAAAUUUUGCAAGCUGGGCGGAAGCAGGAUGCAGCAUCGCCGUGUCGGGGAGGACGGCCUUCGGGUUGUAAACCGUGUUCGCCUGGGAAGAAGCGACAGUGACGGUAAUUGAUAAAAAAGCGCCGGCUAACUACGUG